rnacentral:tRNA from 2 species
GGAGCUAUGGCACAAUCCGGUACUGCAACGGACUCGAAAUCCGUCGAGCCGCAUUUCGCGGUGUGCGGGUUCAAAUCCCGCUAGCUCCUUCA